rnacentral:rRNA from 1 species
AGAGUUUGAUCCUGGCUCAGGACGAACGCUUGCGGCGUGCCUAAGAAAUGCAAGUCGAACGGUGUAGCAAUACAUAGUGGCGAACGGUCGCGUAACACGUAAGCAACCUGCCCGAAAGUGGGGGACAACAUCCCGAAAGGGGUGCUAAUACCGCAUGUGGUUGUUUUCUCGCAUGAGAGAACAUCUAAAGCCUUGUGCGCUUUCGGAUGGGCUUGCGGCCUAUCAGGUAGAUGGUGGGGUAAUGGCCUACCAAGCCGGUGACGGGUCGCUGGUCUGAGAGGAUGACCAGCCAGACUGGGACUGAGACACGGCCCAGACUCCUACGGGAGGCAGCAGCAAGGGAUUUUCCCCAAUGGGCGCAAGCCUGAGGUAGCAACGCCGCGUGGGUGAAGAAGGUCUUCGGGUUGUAAAGCCCUUUUAGCACUGACGAGAACAAGGACGGUAGGUGCUGAAGAAGUCUCGGCUAACUACGUGCCAGCAGCCGCGGUAAUAC